CUAAUGAAAAUCACAGCUGAGUUUCUCUUCAUGUUGUGGUAAAGAUAAAAAUGAUUCCAGAAUUGUCAGUGGACGAUUGUCCUAGUCUUUCAUCUUGUAAACUUUGGGUACCAGGCUGUUCAAAUGUGUGUGCUUGACAGGUAAUACCUUUUUGAGACCAGAAAGUGCAGUCCUGUCUUAUCGUACUUGUGCAGACCUUUUGCCAAAAGUUUUUGAUCAAGAUCACCUGUUAAUACCCUUAAAGACAGCCAUUUCGUUUGGAAAUGAAGCUCUGAUCCCAUUGAUUGCAGGACUGACUUCUUGCUCAUUUCCUUGAGUCUGCUGGAGGUUUUUAAAUUGCAUUUGGAUAGGAUGUUGCUCUCUUAAAGGAAGGAAAGGUGCCAUGUAGGUACUGACUUGCGGCAGAGAAACUUUUUUUAGUGACUGGAUAACAAUCUGAACUAUUCAUGCCACUCAGAGAACAGACCAAACAAUUUGGUUUAUGGAUUUGAAAGACCUUCCCAGUCUUUUGUGGUUAUAAUGAUAAUUUCCAAUUUAUUUGGUGUAGGGAGGAAUGAUGCCUUUGAGGGUAAAGCCUUUGAGGGUAUGGAACUGUGUAAAUUUAGAGACUGUCAUAUAGCCUGAAACUGUAGGUGAGCCGUGUUGCCUUUCAUUCUGUCUUUGAAUUGUACAGAUUAUUAGAGUAGUGGUAACACUUGAGCUUCACUCUUGGGUGUUUUGUAGGAGAUUAUUUCUUAAAGUUUCUUAUACUGAAAGUCAUUCUUGCCUGUUAGCUUUCAAGAUUAAAUAAAAAUACAAGUUUCUGAAGAAAUAUUUCCUUAAGGCUUUCCUCAAAGUGGUUUUAAUUGCUGUGUAUUUCCUAGCCUAGAAUUUCCAGUGUUUAACAACAGUUCAGUGUAAUUCUACUUUUUUUUUUUUUCUUCUAAGGUAAGGCAUAUAUGGAACCCGUUGAGAACCUUACAUUGUGCUGCAGUAGCUGGAAUUUACAGAGUAGCAGGAAAGAAUAUGGCUCCCUUAGAAGCUCUCAUCUUUGGUGUUGGACAGACAGUACUGACAUUAAUUAUCUCAUUUUCAAGGAUUCUUGCAACACUCUGAGGUUUAUGUAAAAAGAAUUUCAACUAGCCUAAAGAAAUCUCUGAUCUGAAGAGAAGCUUCCUGGAAGUGGAUUCAGCAGCUUAUGAACUUGAAUGCUAGUGCAAGAGAAAGGAAGCGAUGUGGAACAUGCAGUACAAAUCUGGAGGUUCAGUCGAAUGAACAGACUGUCCUCUAGUGUCUGAACUCUUGUACUUCUGCACUGUGCCUUAUGUGCCUCAGUCAUAGGCAAGGUGCGGUCCCUGUGUGCAAAGCUGAGAUAAAGCACCUUGAGUAGCUGCCAGUCAGGCUAAUGCUUGGUGAUAGGAUCGUUGUUCUUAUCAGUGUUUUAAUAAAACUAAAGGGACACUCCUGAAAGUUGCUGUA
rnacentral:lncRNA from 1 species